CACGCCGUAAACAAUGUCUGCUAGAUGCUCUGCAUUAGUGGGGUGUCGAAGCUAACGCGUUAAGCAGACCGCCUGGGAAGUACGAUCGCAAGAUUAAAACUCAAAGGAAUUGGCGGGGACCCGCACAAGCGGUGGAGCAUGCUCUUUAAUUGGCUGAUAACCCAAGAACCUUACCAGGGCUUGACAUGCAUAAAGUAGUGAACCGAAAGGGGAACGACCGGUAUCCAGUCCGGAGUUUGCACAGGUGU
rnacentral:rRNA from 1 species